AUGCUAGCUUUCUGCAUCUGCCUAUGCUGGCUUUCUGCAUCUGCCUAUGCUGGCUUUCUGCAUCUGCCUAUGCUGGCUUUCUGCAUCUGCCUAUGCUGGCUUUCUGCAUCUGCCUAUGCUGGCUUUCUGCAUCUGCCUAUGCUGGCUUUCUGCAUCUGCCUAUGCUGGCUUUCUGCAUCUGCCUAUGCUGGCUUUCUGCAUCUGCCUAUGCUGGCUUUCUGCAUCUGCCUAUGCUGGCUUUCUGCAUCUGCCUAUGCUGGCUUUCUGCAUCUGCCUAUGCUGGCUUUCUGCAUCUGCCUAUGCUGGCUUUCUGCAUCUGCCUAUGCUGGCUUUCUGCAUCUGCCUAUGCUGGCUUUCUGCAUCUGCCUAUGCUGGCUUUCUGCAUCUGCCUAUGCUGGCUUUCUGCAUCUGCCUAUGUUGGCUUUCUGCAUCUGCCUAUGUUGGCUUUCUGCAUCUGCCUAUGUUGGCUUUCUGCAUCUGCCUAUGUUGGCUUUCUGCAUCUGCCUAUGUUGGCUUUCUGCAUCUGCCUAUGUUGGCUUUCUGCAUCUGCCUAUGUUGGCUUUCUGCAUCUGCCUAUGUUGGCUUUCUGCAUCUGCCUAUGUUGGCUUUCUGCAUCUGCCUAUGUUGGCUUUCUGCAUCUGCCUAUGUUGGCUUUCUGCAUCUGCCUAUGCUGGCUUUCUGCAUCUGCCUAUGCUGGCUUUCUGCAUCUGCCUAUGCUGGCUUUCUGCAUCUGCCUAUGCUGGCUUUCUGCAUCUGCCUAUGUUGGCUUUCUGCAUCUGCCUAUGUUGGCUUUCUGCAUCUGCCUAUGCUGGCUUUCUGCAUCUGCCUAUGCUGGCUUUCUGCAUCUGCCUAUGCUGGCUUUCUGCAUCUGCCUAUGCUGGCUUUCUGCAUCUGCCUAUGCUGGCUUUCUGCAUCUGCCUAUGUUGGCUUUCUGCAUCUGCCUAUGCUGGCUUUCUGCAUCUGCCUAUGCUAGCUUUCUGCAUCUGCCUAUGUUGGCUUUCUGCAUCUGCCUAUGCUGGCUUUCUGCAUCUGCCUAUGCUGGCUUUCUGCAUCUGCGAUCGAAGGUGCCUUAGUUACAGUGUUAUUUGGAGUUACAGUGGUGUUUGUCAGACCAUGAGACAUCCCGAAAAUUGGUCUUCUUACGAAACAUCUGUAGCGUCCAAACGGUUUGGCCUACAAAACUAUUAUGACCCCUCUAUGGAAAGGGAGACUCUCACAAACACGAUGGUGUUCUCUGUUUUGCUACGACAACCACACGUGUCACAGGACCCUUACGAAUGUGUGGAAGUAUGGAGGUAG
rnacentral:lncRNA from 1 species